GCCGAAGUGGUGGAAUUGGUAGACACGCCGUCUUGAGGGGGCGGUGGCGCAAGCCGUGUCGGUUCGAGUCCGACCUUCGGCACCA
rnacentral:tRNA from 3 species